rnacentral:rRNA from 1 species
AGCAUAUCAAUAGCGGAGGAAAAGAAACCAACAGGGAUUGCCCUAGUAACGGCGAGUGAAGCGGCAACAGCUCAAAUUUGAAAUCUGGCUUCGGCCCGAGUUGUAAUUUGUAGAGGAAGCUUUAGGCGCGGCACCUUCUGAGUCCCCUGGAACGGGGCGCCAUAGAGGGUGAGAGCCCCGUAUAGUUGGAUGCCUAGCCUGUGUAAAGCUCCUUCGACGAGUCGAGUAGUUUGGGAAUGCUGCUCAAAAUGGGAGGUAAAUUUCUUCUAAAGCUAAAUACCGGCCAGAGACCGAUAGCGCACAAGUAGAGUGAUCGAAAGAUGAAAAGCACUUUGAAAAGAGGGUUAAAUAGCACGUGAAAUUGUUGAAAGGGAAGCGCUUGUGACCAGACUUGCGCCGGGCUGAUCAUCCGGUGUUCUCACCGGUGCACUCUGCCCGGCUCAGGCCAGCAUCGGUUCUCGCGGGGGGAUAAAGGCCCAGGGAAUGUAGCUCCUCCGGGAGUGUUAUAGCCCGGGGCGCAAUGCCCUCGCGGGGACCGAGGUUCGCGCUCUGCAAGGAUGCUGGCGUAAUGGUCAUCAGCGACCCGUCUUGAAACACGGACCAAGGAGUCAAGGUUUUGCGCGAGUGUUUGGGUGUAAAACCCGCACGCGUAAUGAAAGUGAACGUAGGUGAGAGCUUCGGCGCAUCAUCGACCGAUCCUGAUGUUUUCGGAUGGAUUUGAGUAAGAGCGUUAAGCCUUGGACCCGAAAGAUGGUGAACUAUGCUUGGAUAGGGUGAAGCCAGAGGAAACUCUGGUGGAGGCUCGCAGCGGUUCUGACGUGCAAAUCGAUCGUCAAAUCUGAGCAUGGGGGCGAAAGACUAAUCGAACCAUCUAGUAGCUGGUUACCGCCGAAGU